rnacentral:rRNA from 1 species
UACAGAGGCCUCGAGCGUUAGGCGGAAUCACUGGGCUUAAAGCGUGUGUAGGCGGACUUCUAAGUACCUUGUGAAAUCCCACGGCUCACCCGUGGAACUGCUGGGUAUACUGGUCGUCUUUGAGGCACUCAGGGGCGAGCGGAACAGAUGGUGGAGCGGUGAAAUGCGUAGAUAUCAUCUGGAACGCCAAUGGUGAAGACAGCUCGCUGGGGGGUGUACUGACACUGAGACACGAAAGCCAGGGGAGCGAACGGG